rfam:Candidatus Sungbacteria bacterium RIFCSPHIGHO2_02_FTLL_52_23 rifcsphigho2_02_scaffold_30987, whole genome shotgun sequence.
GGUAGAUGAAAAAAGGGCGUAUGGUGGAUGCCUUGGCUUUGAGAAGCGAUGAAGGACGUGGCGUGCCUGCGAUAAACUUCGGGGAGGUGGCGAGCAACCUUUGAUCCGGAGGUGUCCGAAUGGGGAAACCCCGAUGCCGGAAACGGCAUUGAUCCGACAGCAAUGUCGGAAGCGCACCCGCUGAAGUAAAACAUUUCAGUAAGCGGAGGAAUAGAAAACAAUGUCUCGAUUGUAGAAUGUGGGAGGUAGAUAGUAGUUUUCUACGUUCUACUUACUACAUUCUACUUUCGAGCCCAUUCCCUUAGUAGCGGCGAGUGAAAAGGGAAGAGCCCAAACCGAUUUUUCAUGAGAUUAUAUCAAAGGAAAAAUCGGGGUUGUAAGAUGGUGUAUGCUCCGAUUUAUCGGAGCGCGAGUCCAACCAACGAAUCUUCGUUAGCGGAACGGCAUGGAAAGGCCGGCCAAAGCGGGUGAGAGCCCCGUACGCGAAAACGGUUUCGUGCUCGUAACAUUACCCCGACGUAAAGUCGGGGCUCGCGACCCCGCAAGGGGUCGGAGUUCUUGAGUACUGCCCCGUACGGAGACUGGGCAGGAAGCAGGGAGGACUGGUCUCCCAAGGCUAAAUAUUCUCAAAGACCGAUAGUGAACAAGUACCGUGAGGGAAAGGUGAAAAGUAGCCCGGUGAGGGCGGUGAAAUAGUACCUGAAACCAUAUGCCUACAAGGAACGGAAGUCCCGAUUUAUCGGGAUAACCGUGUGCCUAUUGAAGAAUGAGCCAACGAGUUUUUCGAUACUGCUCGUCUAAGCGCCUGACGGCGCGAAGGCAUAGGGAAACCGAGUGUGAAUAGCGCGUUAUCUCGUUUGUGACGAGAUCGCAGAACUCGCGGAACUGACGCGGAAGGUCGCAGAAUUUCUCUGCGUAAUUCAGCGUAAAGUCUGCGUAAGUCAGCGUUCUCGCCAUGGGCGAGAAAUGCAGUAUGGAAAAGACCCGAAGCCAGGUGAGCUUGCCAUGAGCAGGGUGAAUUGCGAGUAACAUCGCAAGGAGGCCCGAACCGGUGGAUCGUGCAACGUCCUCGGAUGACUUGUGGUAAGGAGUGAAAAGCUAAUCGAACCUGGUAAUAGCUGGUUCUCUUCGAAAUAGCUUUUGGGCUAGCCCGGAGUCACGCACGCUGCGAGGUAGAGCUACUGGAUGGUCUGUAAGGGCGCAAGUCCGGCAGACCAACCAAACUCCGAAUGCGCAAUGUGUUAUCUCCGGAGUCAGCAGGCGGGGGCUAAGCUCCGUCGUGCAAGAGGGAAACAGCCCAGACCGUCAAUUAAGGUCCCUAAAUCUAUGCUAAGUGUGAAAGGCGGUGGUAUUUCUGAAACAGCGAGGAGGUUGGCUUAGAAGCAGCCAUCCUUUAAAGAGUGCGUAACAGCUCACUCGUCUAGAGAAAUUGCGCCGAAGAUUCAUCGGGGCUAAGCAUAGUACCGAAGUUACGGAUGCGCGGGCUUCACAAAGGGUAGUAAAUUGAUCUUUAUUAUUGAGAAAAAGACAGCAGCGCUGUCUAUAAAAUAUGGCGGAUCCCCAUGCUAAGAGUGUUUCUUGGCUGAGAUGACGUGUACGGGAUUCGCCAUAUGUAGUUGGCGAUGGGUUGGUGCGCGCGGUGAAAGCAUCCUGUAAGGAGUGCUGUCAACUGCGACAGGAACGCAUUAACCCAUCGACUUUCUCCGCGAUCGGAAGCGGAAAGUGGUAAGGCUCGUGGGGCUCAUCGCCCCAUAGGAUGAUGUAUGUGCCGCCGCAUCAUCUGGCCGAAAGGGUUCAAAUCCCUCUGCUUCCGAUUGCAUCAGUAUCCGGCGGGACUUUUCUUCAACGAAGAAAUAAAGUCCUGCCCUUUGUGAAGCCCGUGCGUAGUAGAAGAGCAUUCGUAUUGCAGUGAAGGCUGAUCCGUGAGGGCGGCUGGAGCGAUGCGAAGAGAGAAUGUUGGCACAAGUAACCACAAUCCUGGUGAGAGUCCAGGACGCCGUAAACCCAAGGUUUCCGCAGCAAUGAAGAUCAACUGCGGGUUAGUCGCACCUAAGCCGAUGGCAAAUGCCGCAGGCGAUGGACAGCGGGUUAAUAUUCCCGCACCGGAACAUGUUUUGAUGACGGGACGGAGUGCAGUAUGUCGGGCGCAUUAUUGGAUUUGACGUUCGUAGUCUUAGGAUAGCGCAGAGGAAAAUCCCUGCGCAGCCUCUUUAAUGAGGGAUAUCCGAGGGCCGCGGAGAUCCGCCGGAGCAAUCCUGCGGAAAUCCGACAAAGCGCGCUUCCCAGAAAAGCGUCUAAAAUUAUCAUGUUUCGCGCGUACCGUAAACCGACACAGGUGGGUUGGUGGAGUACACCAAGGCGAACGGGUGAGUCCUCGUUAAGGAACUCGGCAAACAAGCGGCCGUAAGUUCGCGAUAAGGCCUGCCCUGUGCUUCGCAUACGAAGCACUAAGCGAAAAACUAAAAACGAAAAAUGAAAAACUAUUGCACUCGCUUCGCUCGUAGGAUUUAGAAGAAUCCAUCACGAAGCGAUGCCGCAGUUUUACGUUUUUGUCUUUACGUUUUUCAUUUAGCGAAGCGUAUGCGGAGCGCGGGGCUGCAACAAAAGUAUCCCUGGCGACUGUUUACCAAAAACACAGCUCCCUGCAAACUCGUAAGAGGAUAUAUAGGGGGUGACGCCUGACCAAUGCGAGAAGGUUAAGCAUUCUUGUGGAGUGGCUGAGAUUAUAUCAAAGUUGUUUUGCUCUGGGUGCCAAGCCCUCGUCAAUGUCCGCGGUAACUAUAACCGUGUUAAAGUAGCGCAAUUCCUUUUCGGGUAAGUUCCGAAGCGCAUGAAAGGCGUAACGACUGGGGGACUGUCUCAACGAGGAGCCCGGUGAAAAUACAGUACCGGUGAAGAUGCCGGUUACCUGUGGUUAGACGAAAAGACCCCGGAAGCUUUACUGUAGCUUGAUAUUGAGCAUAUCGUUUUGAUGCGUAGCAUAGACGGGAGAGGUUGAAGUUCCGGUUCCGGUCGGGAUGGACUCGUCAGUGAAAUACCGUUCUUGAAAAUGAUAUGUUCUCACCGAUGGCGUCAAACGCCAUCGGGACAGUGUCUGGUGGGCAGUUUAUGUGGGGCACAUUCCUCCCAAAAAGUAAUGGAGGAGUCUAUUAAGGUUGGCUUAGCGCGGAUGGAAAUCGCGCAGGACCUGUAAAGGGAAAAGCCAGCUUGACUGCAAGGCGGGUAUGCCGCGCAGGUGCGAAAGCAGAGCUUAGUGAACCGAUGGCACUUACUAGAAUAAGGCCAGAGAUUAACAGACAAAAGCUACUCCGGGGAUAACAGGCUAGUUCCGCCCAAGCGUCCAUAGCGACGGCGGAGUUCGGCACCUCGAUGUCGGCUCACCUUAGCGCGGGGGUGAAGAAGCUCCCAAGCGUUCGGCUGUUCGCCGAUUAAAAAGGUACGCGAGCUGGGUUCAAACCGUCGUGAGACAGGUUGGUCUCCUAUCUACCACAGGCGACAAUACUUGAGAGGGGUCGUCCCUAGUACGAGAGGACCGGGAUGAACGAACCUCUGGUCUACCAGCUGUCCUGCCAAGGGCACCGCUGGGUAGCUAUGUUCGGAAACGAUAAGCGCUGAAAGCAUCUAAGCGCGAAGCGUGCCUCAAGAUAAGGUAUUAUUUAAGAUCCCUCGGAGAUGACGAGGUUGAUAGGCCGCAGGUGUACGGCGCGUAAGCGCUUCAGCCGAGCGGUACUAAUGAUUGUUUUCAUCUACCCA